rnacentral:tRNA from 1 species
CCUGCGCGUCGCGCACGGGGUCGGCGCCGGGCUGCUGGUGCCCGCCACGCUCGUGGCGGUGUGGGAGCGGCCCCGGAUCCUGCGCGCGGUGUGGGC